UGCGUAGGCGGCGCGGAAAGUUGGGUGUGAAAUACCUCGGCUUAACCGAGGAACUGCGCCCAAAACUACCGUGCUUGAGGAAGAUAGAGGUGAGCGGAACUUAGGGUGGAGCGGUGAAAUGCGUUGAUAUCCUAAGGAACACCGGUGGCGAAAGCGGCUCACUGGAUCUUUUCUGACGCUGAGGCACGAAAGCUAGGGUAGCGAACGG
rnacentral:rRNA from 1 species